rnacentral:rRNA from 1 species
CCGUCUCAGGUUUGGGCGGACAUCUCCAUGGACUUCAUCGAGGGCCUUCCCAAGGUGGGCGGCAAAUCCGUCAUUCUCACGGUGGUCGACCGCUUCUCCAAGUAUGCUCAUUUCAUCGCCCUUGGCCAUCCAUAUUCAGCGGCAUCUGUCGCGCGGGCCUUCUUCGAUGGCAUUGUCCGUCUCCACGGGUUCCCUUCUUCGAUCGUCAGUGAUCGGGAUCCUGUGUUCACGGGCCAUGUAUGGCGCGACCUCUUCCGACUGGCGGGCAUGAAGCUCCGCCUGAGUACCGCUUUCCACCCUCAGAUAGACGGCCAGUCUGAGAUCGUUAACAAGGUGAUUGCCAUGUAUUUGCGUUGUGUUACAGGUGAUCGCCCUCGCGCAUGGGUGGACUGGCUCUCGUGGGCGGAGUACUGCUACAACACCUCUUACCACUCCGCCCUCCGUGCUACGCCCUUUGAGGUGGUGUAUGGCCGGCCGCCCCCGCCGAUUCUGCCGGUUGAUCCGGCCUCGGCACGGACCGAGGCAGCCGGGGCUCUUUUGAGGAGCCAUGAUGAGAUGCUCGCGGAGGUCCAGCAACGACUCCUCCAGGCCCAGCAGUUGGCUAAACGAUACUAUGAUGGCCACCAUCGCGAGGCGGAGUUCGCGGUGGGUGAUUGGGUCUGGCUGCGUCUACUUCACCGCUCUACGCAGUCGUUGGACCCACGCGCGAGGAAGAAGCUCGGUCCUCGCUAUGCCGGUCCCUUUGCUAACCUGGAACGCAUUGGCAAAGUGGCGUACCGUCUUCAGCUUCCGGCAGGUGCACGGAUCCAUGAUGUCUUCCAUGUCGGGCUGCUCAAGCCAUUCCGGGGCGAUCCACCCGCGACA